UAGGAAAGCACUAAAGAAUUUUCUUUCCAUAAUGUAAUAGCUACUACUUAGAGUUCUCAAAUUCUCGUUCCAGAAAUUUUAACAAGUAUUUUUACAAAGAAACUGGAUUUUUAAUUCCUCCUUUUCCUGACACCAUUUGUCAGGUCAGAUUAUUAAACAUAACUAACCUAUAUGAAAGAAACAUGGAGAAAGUCCCAGAGUAUCUUAUGAUCGGGUAUUUAUAGUGAGCUAUUAAUGGACAUAGGCUCUACUGAGAUCAUUUUCAAUCCUGAUAAUAUCACUUUCAACUUAAUAAUCACUUCUUCAAAGUGUGAGGUCUUCCCUCUUUCAGAAGGCCAACUCUCUUGAAAGACAGAAGUGGGAGUUUUGAUAAGAUUUAACCUGAAGAUUUAACAUCUGCUUCCAAUUAAAAAGCAGGGUUUCCCUUUGAAAAGUGAUCCAGGUUGUGUUGAUUUGCCAUGUAUAAUAAUACCUAUCUGUUCAAUGAUGAUUCUGAUGAUGAAAUCCCUACCCAACAAGCUAUUCAGGAAAGCUUACAAGAUAAGCAUAAAAUUGAAACCAGUGGCAGUGCAACAGAGGAUGAAAGUUUCCAGUAUAUUGCAAGCAAAGAACAUGGAAAGAUAAUUGCAGCAAUUCGGACAGGUCAAGAAGAAGCCUUGAUGAAGUUGGUGAGGCACAGUUCUGCUUUUGAGGAAGCAGAUCAGCAAGGCUGGCUUCCUGUGCAUGAAGCUGCAGCACAGCUAAAUAAGAACAUCCUUGAAAUAACUUUGAAAGCCUCCCGUGCCAUUACGUGGGAACAGACCACUCUAAAAGGGGAAACACCUCUCUUGGUGGCAGUAAGAAAUUGCUUUGUAGACAAUGUCCACUUUCUCCUGCUCAAUGGCUGCAAUCCCAAUGUUAAGAAUGAAGAGGGAGAUUCUCCUUUAGUUAUAGCAAUUAAACAUGACUCGUAUGAGAUUGCCUCCUUGUUGAUAAGUUCUGGUGCAAAAGUGAAUUUGCAGUGUGUCCACAAGAGGACUGCUUUACAUGAGGCAGCCAGACUAGGCAGGAAGGAUCUGGUGAAGCUGCUUCUUCGUUCUGGAGCAGAUCCUGACCCUCGCAGUGGAUAUGGGCUUACACCUCUAGCACUGGCUGCACAGAUUGGACAUACAGAAAUUAUGGAGCUCUUAUUGCAAAAAGGUGCGAAUGUUCUUUCACAGGCAAUGGAUUGUGCUUCUGUUUUAUUUGAAGCAGCAGGAGGAGGAAAUCCAGAUUCUCUGAGUCUUUUACUAGAAUAUGGGGCUGAUGCCAAUGUACCAAAGCACUCGGGUCAUUUGCCAAUCCACAGAGCUGCAUAUAGAGGACACUUUCUAGCCCUAAAAUAUUUAGUUCCAGUUACUAACUUUGAUGCCAUUAAAGAAAGUGGGAUAAGUCCAGUUCACUCAGCAGCAGCAGGAGCACAUCCUCAGUGCCUUGAGUUUCUCCUCAAAUCUGGGUUUGAUGCCAAUUUUAUGCUGGACCAAAGAGUUCGCAAAGGCUACGAUGACCACCGGAAAUCAGCGUUGUACUUUGCUGUUUCCAACGGGGAUAUCUGUUCAGCACAGUUGCUGUUGAAUGCUGGAGCCCUGCCAAACCAAGAUCCCAUCAACUGUCUCCAAAUAGCCUUGAGAAUGGGCAACUAUGAGUUAAUGAAUCUACUGCUCCGACACGGGGCUAAUGUCAAUUACUUCUGCAGAGUGAAUACAACACAUUUUCCAUCAGCUCUACAGUAUGCUCUGAAAGAUGAAGUCAUGUUAAGAAUGCUGAUGAACUAUGGGUAUGAUGUGCACCGCUGCUUUGAUUGCCCUCAGGGAAACAGUUCGCAUUCCCAGUAUGUGACCGAUGGAUGGACUUCUACUGUUAUCAAAGAUACAAUGUUCUGUGAGGUGAUAACCUUGUCAUGGUUGAAGCAUCUGUCUGGGAAAGUAGUGCGAGUAAUGUUAGAUUACGUCGAUCACGUCAAUAUCUGCUGGAAGCUAGAAGCAGUUCUCAAAGAACAGGAACUCUGGCCAGACAUCAAUUUGAUUUUAACAAAUCCUCGCUCUCUGAAGCAUCUUUGUCGUCUGAAGAUACGGGAAUGCAUGGGCCGGUUGCGUCUCCGUUGUCCAGUCUUCAUGACCUUCCUUCCACUGCCAAACUGCUUGAAGGAUUACAUACUGUACAAGGAGUAUGAUCUUUACGGACAGGAAAACUUCACAGGAACCUACAACCUCAACUGUACAUAAUUAGUAGUUCUAUAUUUUGAAGCGAAUGUUGACAUGGAUAAGACUGUUGUGCAGCUGCUUUUUUCUUUUGGGAUUUUAUCUCCUAUGUAUUAAGGAAUACCAGCAUUUCCCCCUCACCCCUCAAGAAAACUGGGAGAACCCCAAAAUAUUUUGAGCCUCCAGAUUCACCAAAAGGAUUUGUGCGUCUAUUAAAAAAUGAAAACAUUAAACCAGGAGUCAGAUUACAAGAACCACUAAUGAAUAAUGUAGUAGUCUCAUGCUGCAUCAAAUAAGAACAUGUAAUGAUUUCACAGACGUGCAAUCUGGAGGAAUAAUGUAUGAUAAAUCAUAAGGACAAGCAAUUGAAUCAGGACAUAAAUAGACAUAAAUUGCUAUAUUCGAGGGCUCAAAUUAUGGGAAAAAUACCAGAUAUUAUUGUCCUAUUGCUGCCAUAGAGAGUUUUGCUCACAUGGGUUUUUUUUAUAUCUGAAUUAAGCCCAAGUCAAAACCUUGUUAAUAUUUGAAAAGGUAAUUUCAGGGGAUGAAAUUUCACAGAACAGCUUCAGGAAGUACAACCAAAAGCUAGUUCUUUCAGAACUCCAUAGGAGCACCACACUUCUCAUAACUGUCUCAAGUUGUUGAAUUACUUACUGAAGAGAAGUCACUGGUUUUGUUUCAAAUGCAGCUUUCUGAAAACAUCACGGGAGUUUUACUCCUAGAGGGUCAAGAGAAAUGUGGCUAUUUCUGGCUCUCAAAGACAGAAUUGCUAUUGGUUACAAUGAAAAGUGAAAAUACUCUAGGCUUCCAAGUCUACAUUUUUCAAAAGCAGUAAAGCAAUGCUGAAAAGCGUAUGGGAAAUGGGGAAAUUUUAUUUAAAACUUCUGAAGAGGAAAAAAACCUUUCUUCUUUGGUUAACUGGUAGCUGAAAAACAAUUGUCAAGGGUUCAAUAACUUCAGAUCAGGUUUUAUAGGGGAGUAAUGAAGGUGUCACCUUUCAAUAGCUAGUGUUCUAAAAGUAAAUUUCAGAACCAAGAGAAAAAAAUGUCAGUCUCUUGUUCAGUUACGUCAUACCAACUGCCAGAUUUAUCAGUGAAAUCUUAUUAACUGAGCAAUGUCUAGUUUAAAGUAAUAAAAUUGUUCUAGAUUGAACUCUGAAGUCAAGAUGGCGUUGCUACAAUGUUUAUAUAACAUGGACUCAAUCAAGAAUCAUCCUAUUAAAUGUUGACCUGUGUAAAUAAAUACUAAAGGGAAAUUCUUUUUAUUAGCAUCUUUUAUUGCUCAGACUUUUCUUGUCAUUUGAGAUUAGACUGGAACAGUAAAUGCAAAAUCUCACAGGAUCUCUCAAAAGGCAAAAGUAAAAUUUAAAUAUAUGUCAUCAGCAUCAGAAACUAAGGAAAGUCUUUUUUUUUUUUUUAUUUUUUUAUUAAUUAAUACUUCUAAAGUUGCAUGUUGCCUAUCUGUAGAAACACUGUGGUUCUUUAUUGACAGUGAUGGUUAAUUGAAAAUACUGAGCACAACUCUAUAUAAUUCCUGCUAUGAAAAAUACGACUUUCUAGAAUGGAAUUAUAACUGAUGACAUGAAUUUAGCUGAAGUAUUAACCUUUCCACUUCCUGGAAUACAGUUCAAGUCUACUUUAAAUCAAUGUAUUCUUAAGGAUCUAGCUAGUCAACUCAUUAUCCUGCUAUACCAAACAACAAAAAGAAAACUGUCAAAAAAAAGAAAAAAAAGAGUUGAAUAUAUAUAAUUUUAAAUCUUAUGUAUCUGUGAGGUGCAACUGAAAAUUCAAGUAUUUUUCUAGAGGACA